GAGCUGAACCUGGGGCUGAAUUGUAUAUCUUCAGGACCUACUGUCCAGUGACCCACUUCCUCCAACUGAGCUGCCUCUUCCAAAGUUUCCACGACUUCCCCAAAGUAGUACUACCUGGAUGCCAAAUGUUGAAACACCAGAGCUUUUAGGAGACCUUUUACAUCCAAACUGUAACUUUUUGUUGUGUUGUUCUUGUCCCUCAUAAGCUCAGGUGUAUUGCUCACAAUGUGAAAUACAUUUGGUUCAACUUCCAGAGUCCACAAAAUUGUAACAGUACCAACAGUUACUAAAGUUCAAAGCCCAAAGUCUCUUCUGACCUCAGCUGUGGGCAACUAUAAAAUAAAAAUAGGUUGCCUACUUCCAUUGCACAGUUAAGGAAUGAGGUUAGCAAGUAGAAAUUAGCUGAAACAAGACUAAACCUCAGCAGGGAAUCCUGAACCUCCCCAUAUCUGGCUUCUGGGUUUUGUGAUGGUAUUGCAUACUUAAGUGGACUGGGGCUCGGCCCUUAGUGCUGUCACUAAGUAGCACACGUGGCCGUUCUCUAGGGCUGUCUCUUCUCAGUACCUGGAGCUUUUUCAACAGACUAGUUAGUGUUCCUGGUAUCGCCAACAUGGGUUUCCGUUGCAACUUAGGCCUCUUCCUCACACAUCUCUUUCUCAGGGCCUCUCCGUUCACAUUGCUGAGCCUCAUUAGUUUUUUUCUGGAACCUUGGCACAAGUAUGCCUCCAAAAUCAGCACCACCUGGAUGGUGCUGAAUUCUGUGUGCCAGCUCAGCAUGUAGCUUGCUUGGUUCCUACAUAUUAUAAUUGUAGCAGCCUGUGAGUAACUGGUGGGUGUAUCUUAGGUGGCCCUGUUGGGUCAGGGUGCCACUGCUCUGGCACUCUCUGUUCAAACACUUCCCCUUUCCAGGCACUCCCCUUUUAAUUGAAGAUUUACCAGAGGUUGCACUGUUGCAUAGAGCUUCCUAUGGGUGGGGUCUUGCAAAGCGUAUGGCUUUUCUUAAGUAUACUCAGUUUAAUAAUGGAAUAUGGGCAUUUUUCAUAUUCAUCUCAUCUGCAACUUUAAAUGUUCUUAUGCCAUGUUCUUUAAAUUUUCUUUAAAUUGUUCUUUAAAUUUAAAUUUUCUUUAAAUUGCUCUUUAAAUUUCCUUGCCAAACUGCAUAUUUUUCAUGUCUUUCUGCCCCAUUUGGCUUAGAAUUUUUUCAUUGAGAACCUAGUUGAAGGCAGCCAGCAAUAAAUGUGCCAUAGCCUAGGUGCUAUGCUGUGUUGAAGUUUGCUCUGCCAGAUGAUUAAUAAAGUUUGAAUUUAACCUUAGUCAAAUUAUCAGGAUGUGGGAUAUAGCCAGAUUGUCCCCUACCCCCAGAAUGACACUUGAAUUGAGCCUAUAGCCCAAUUCCAAUUAAAUCUUUUUCCCUCUCAAAACUUCAUGAGUCUACUCUCUGUAUGUCUAAUGGCAUUCUAUUCUUCCAGAUUCCCACCAGGAUGGCUGGGUAAGCUGUUUACAACAUUCCAAGACUUGUUUAGCUUGCUGAUCCAAACUCUUCCACAUUCUUUCCAUAAAUUAGUUCCAAAGGCCUUUGAACCACAUUGUCAGGCUUAUUACAGCAACAGCCCCAUUCCUGGUACCAAUUUUCUGUAGUAGUUAACCGUUGUCCCUCUGGAAGACUAAGGUAGGAGAGAGGUUUGAGUCAUGUUUUAGUGGGAAUAAAGUUCGUCUUGCCAGGGAAAGCAUGGCAGCUGUGGCUCUGUCCUUUGUGGUUGGUUGGUGCCUUUGGCAUGGCUUGUUACAUCUAGGCAAACCAGGAAAUAGCUUGGGCUCAAAGCCUGCCCCCAGCUAGGCCCCACUUCCUAAAGGUUGAACACACCUCCAAAAUGGUGCCACCAUCUGGCUACAAAGUAUUCAAACAUACGAGCCAGGAAGCAAUGACUCUAAACCAUAAUACAUGUUAGCUCUUGGUAUUCCUUAGUUAAAAGAAAUCCCUCUUUUAUCUUCUUAAAACAAAAAGACAUACCUGGAGAUUUUAGCCUCAUUAUUACAUAGGCCUGUCUGUAUUUGUCAUGUAAUAACAUUGGAAAAGAUGUGAUUACAUCUAGAGGAAGCAUGAUAAAACUGAUAAAAUCCAACUUUUAUAAUUAUAUAAAGAAAUUAUCUUAUUAAUUUAUAGAUUGGAUAGUUUAUUAGACCUUUCACACUGUUUUUUCAUCUAUAAAAUGGAAUCUAUUCUAUACUCAUUCCUAGGUUGAUGUUAAUAAAUGAGAAGCAUUUUGUAAUCGCCUUGUUUGUAGUAAGCAUUCAAUACAUGACAUGGGUAAAUUGUUACAGUUAAAACAACUUUAGACUUACAAACUUCUUUUACAGAUUAGGUGAGCUAAUAUCCCAGUUAUCGUAAUUAUAUGCCAUGUGGCAAUUAGGAAAAAAGUAGACUUUAACAUUUUACAUAUUGGGCUGGAGAGAUGGCUUAGUUGUUAAAAGCACAUACUGCUUUUGUAGAGGUCUAGCAUUUGGUCCCUGGUACACAUGUGAGGCAGCUCAUAACCUCCUAUAACUCAGCUCUAAGGGGUCCAGCCCCGACUUCUGGACUCUGUGGGUGCUGCACUCAUGUAUAACCCCCCACAACACACAGACGUGUACACACACACACACACACACAUAAUUAAAAAUAAAAUCUUUUAAAAAAAUGAAAAUUUACAUUUUAAAUCACUUUUAACUACUUUUGUUUUUUGUGGUUUUGGCUUAAUUUGUUAACUUGGAGUAAAACUCAAGGGAAAUUAGGCCAGUAUUUUAUUGUGUAGUUAGAGGCUGUGUCUCUAGCAUGUAACCUGAACGAACGUCUUCCAAAUAAGUAAGCUUUGCUAACAGUAGAAAGGAAACAUUAACUCACACUCCUUUUUAGAAAAAAGUUCAACAUUAUAUUAGUGAUUUUAUUAACACCAUUGCUUUUAUUGAAUGGUUCCAUAUAAUGCUACUGUUAAUGCUUUUAUUUAUUUACUUGUUUGUUUUAAACACAAUCUUGCUCUGUAGCCUUGCUGGCCUGGUACUUGAUGUCUAGUGCAGGCUGCUCUUUAACUCAGAGCACUUCUCCUGCCUCAGCAUCCCAGGUUCUGGGACAAUUAGAUAAAUAUACACAAAAAGUUGAGACCCUUCCACACCUAUAUACAAAAAUUACCUCAACUCAGGUCAUAAAUGGU
rnacentral:lncRNA from 1 species